UACGAAGGGGGCUAGCGUUGCUCGGAAUCACUGGGCGUAAAGCGCACGUAGGCGGCUUUUUAAGUCAGGGGUGAAAUCCUGGAGCUCAACUCCAGAACUGCCUUUGAUACUGGGAAGCUCGAGUCCGGGAGAGGUGAGUGGAACUCCGAGUGUAGAGGUGAAAUGCGUAGAUAUUGGGAGGAACACCAGUGGCGAAGGCGGCUCGCUGGACCGGUUCUGACGCUGAGGCGCGAAAGCGUGGGGAGCAAACGGG
rnacentral:rRNA from 1 species